CUGCAAAUCUUGGUGCUGUCAGUGACAAGCAUGGUGAAAGGUUUCACCAGGACAUUGCGGUCAUGGAGAAACAACAUCAGGCCAAAAGAACUCCAUCAAUGCUGGCUGAUUCUUGUUGAACACAAAUGCUGCUUGACCUGAUGAGUUCCUCCAGAAUUUUGUGUGUGUUACGUUGGACUUCCAGCAUCUGCAGAAUCUCUUGUGAUUAUGAGGGUUCUUUUGAAGACCCUGACCUGGAGUUACACGCAGGCUUCGGUUCUUUGUGGGAAUGGCACCCGCUCUCGGGGUGUUAUGACUGGCUGUUAUCCGACAUGCCAAGGGUUCGGCCUAAGAGUUCAGUUCGCCUUUGGAGGCCUAGGAUCUCGGGGCUCUGGAGACGGGCGGAUCGAAGGUCAGUGUCCUGGACCGGUGUGUUGUGGGAGUGGGAAGAUCAAAGACCUGAGAUCUUUGGACACAGAACUCGGAAAAAGCAACGCAACUGACUUUUGAAAUCGUAAACCAAUGAGUUGUUUGUUAUAUCUCCCCUCUCGCUGUGAAACGGAGAAAUUUCUUUCUUCCUUUUUAGGGAGAGAGAGUCUGUGGUAUGUCGAAUACCGGGUGAAGGAGUAGU